GCAGCGAUAUCCGAGUGGUUACGGAGCUUGGCUCGAAAUCAGAUGGGAGCUGCCCGCAUAGGUUCGAAUCCUGCACGAUGCU
rnacentral:tRNA from 1 species